rnacentral:rRNA from 1 species
UACGUAGGGUGCAAGCGUUGUCCGGAAUUAUUGGGCGUAAAGGGCUCGUAGGCGGUCCAUCGCGUCGGGGAGUGAAAAAGCUGGGGGCUCAACCCCCAGUCCUGCUUUUCGAUACGGGUGGACUAGAGGUAGGCAGGGGGAGAACGGAAUUCCUGGUGUAGCGGUGAAAUGCGCAGAUAUUGGGAAGAACACCCCGUGGCGAAGGCGGCUCUCUGGAACGCAACUGACGCUGAGACGCGAAAGCGUGGGGGAGCAAACAGG